rnacentral:misc_RNA from 1 species
GGUAGUUUUGGCAUGACUCUACC